rnacentral:rRNA from 1 species
AGAGUUUGAUCCUGGCUCAGAGUGAACGCUGGCGGCGUGCCUAAUACAUGCAAGUCGAACGAUGAAGCUUCUAGCUUGCUAGAGUGCUGAUUAGUGGCGCACGGGUGAGUAACGCAUAGGUCAUGUGCCUCUUAGUUUGGGAUAGCCAUUGGAAACGAUGAUUAAUACCAGAUACUCCCUACGGGGGAAAGAUUUAUCGCUAAGAGAUCAGCCUAUGUCCUAUCAGCUUGUUGGUAAGGUAAUGGCUUACCAAGGCUAUGACGGGUAUCCGGCCUGAGAGGGUGAACGGACACACUGGAACUGAGACACGGUCCAGACUCCUACGGGAGGCAGCAGUAGGGAAUAUUGCUCAAUGGGGGAAACCCUGAAGCAGCAACGCCGCGUGGAGGAUGAAGGUUUUAGGAUUGUAAACUCCUUUUGUUAGAGAAGAUAAUGACGGUAUCUAACGAAUAAGCACCGGCUAACUCCGUGCCAGCAGCCGCGGUAAUACGGAGGGUGCAAGCGUUACUCGGAAUCACUGGGCGUAAAGAGCGCGUAGGCGGGAUAGUCAGUCAGGUGUGAAAUCCUAUGGCUUAACCAUAGAACUGCAUUUGAAACUACUAUUCUAGAGUGUGGGAGAGGUAGGUGGAAUUCUUGGUGUAGGGGUAAAAUCCGUAGAGAUCAAGAGGAAUACUCAUUGCGAAGGCGACCUGCUGGAACAUUACUGACGCUGAUUGCGCGAAAGCGUGGGGAGCAAACAGGAUUAGAUACCCUGGUAGUCCACGCCCUAAACGAUGGAUGCUAGUUGUUGGAGGGCUUAGUCUCUCCAGUAAUGCAGCUAACGCAUUAAGCAUCCCGCCUGGGGAGUACGGUCGCAAGAUUAAAACUCAAAGGAAUAGACGGGGACCCGCACAAGCGGUGGAGCAUGUGGUUUAAUUCGAAGAUACACGAAGAACCUUACCUAGGCUUGACAUUGAGAGAAUCCGCUAGAAAUAGUGGAGUGUCUAGCUUGCUAGACCUUGAAAACAGGUGCUGCACGGCUGUCGUCAGCUCGUGUCGUGAGAUGUUGGGUUAAGUCCCGCAACGAGCGCAACCCCCUUUCUUAGUUGCUAACAGGUUAUGCUGAGAACUCUAAGGAUACUGCCUCCGUAAGGAGGAGGAAGGUGGGGACGACGUCAAGUCAUCAUGGCCCUUACGCCUAGGGCUACACACGUGCUACAAUGGGGUGCACAAAGAGAAGCAAUACUGUGAAGUGGAGCCAAUCUUCAAAACACCUCUCAGUUCGGAUUGUAGGCUGCAACUCGCCUGCAUGAAGCUGGAAUCGCUAGUAAUCGCAAAUCAGCCAUGUUGCGGUGAAUACGUUCCCGGGUCUUGUACUCACCGCCCGUCACACCAUGGGAGUUGUGUUUGCCUUAAGUCAGGAUGCUAAAUUGGCUACUGCCCACGGCACACACAGCGACUGGGGUGAAGUCGUAACAAGGUAACCGUAGGUGAACCUGCGGUUGGAUCACCU